AUGGGCUGCCCAGGGAGCUGGUUGUGUCACCAUCCCUGGAGGUGGUGUGUAAUGUGGUACUAAGGGACAUGGUUUAACUAUUGGUAGUAGGUGUAUGGUUGGACUGGACGGUCUUGGUGGUCUUUUCCAACCUUGGUGAGUCUGUCAUUCUAUUCUAUGAUUCUUGGGUUUAAAAUCAAAGCAAGAAAUGAUCUACUUUUAACGUUCAAACUGAAUCAAGUUUCCAUUAAAGAUACAGCUUUAUGAAAGAAUUAUGAAUUUCUCAGUGCAAAGAAAAUACAAAUUGUUCAUUUUCAGAACAGAUCACAAUUGUAGUCCUCAACAUGUGCUUUUUUCAGCUUCAUGCUGCAGCAAUGCCAGUUUCACCUGUACAGCACCAGUCAUGUACCUUCCUAGCUGGGACCUAACACCUCUUACAGCCAUGAGAACCCCACCUCCACUGCAGUGUCACUCUUCUUCAUAAUGCAUACUAUCUGUUAAUGACACAAUCUGUUCCAUAGCAGUUAAAGUCUGUUCAGAAUUACAUGGCAGGGCUCACAGAGUCUACACAUUGACAUAGAGACUCAAAAGCCAUGGAUGCAGCCAAGCUUUUUGGGAAUGAAUUGGAAGCUCUCAGCCCUCUUGUAUGCCAAACCAUCUUAAAGAACUGAAGCAGGGCUGCCUGCAAGAUUCUUAGUGACAUGUGGAAACAUAUCAGCUUGUGCUGCUUAAAGGAGAGGGUCUGAGGAGCUAGCCUCUGAGAGAGGGUAAGGGCUUAGGAAUAACAAUUCAAUACGUGAAGAUUCAACCAGUUGAGCAAGUUGAAUGAAGGCAAGAAUACACAGCUGCUUUUAUCAAAUGUGUCUGUGUCUUUUCCUCCUCAUGAUAUGACCAAGAUAUAUGUAUGUGUCAUGGAGGGUAGCAUGCAGGAAGUGCUUUUCCCCCCCACUCUAGAUCAUUCUUGUUUUUGCACACUACCAUAAAUGCUGCUUUUCCUAUACAUCCUUUCUAAUUUUUAGCAAAAUAUCAUUAGCAAUAAAAUUCAUAUUUGAGUGUGUCUUGUCUUUAUGUUUGAUAAUUCCAACAGUUCUCACAUAAGUAGUUUGUGGAUGAGUGCAUGUUUUCUUUCUGUAGUCAGCUUACAGGAUGUCUCCAUUGCAAGGUGGUCAGAAAACAACGCUGCGAUUCAUUCCAUGCCCCUCCAGUCUCUCCUGAAGGCCUGAGUUACAAAGGCCAGCAAAAUGGUAGCAAAAUGCAGCUGGAAAGUUGUUGGAGCUGAGCUCAGGCUGACGAACCUUUGCGCUCACCACUCAAUAAAGAUGAUGCGAUAUCUGCACAGUGACCAACUGAGAUGUGCGGAGCAUUGCAGAAGUGGGAGCCGUGCUGCCAUGUCUGUGGAAUUGAAAGGUUCCUUCAUUACGUUGUCAGCACCUAUUAGAAAUCAGAGCUUGGAACAACAGACUGACAUUAAUACGCUGGUUUGGAGGCUUCUGGUUACCACAGGCUAUCUCAUCAGCUUUCAGAGUCUCCGAGGCAUUUCCAAAAGACUCCAGACUGACCAGACAAAUAAAGCCUCCAAUGAUUCUGA